rnacentral:rRNA from 1 species
GACUAUGAAAAAAUCAGCCGGAUUGGACCCGAUCAUCAGAUCUCAAGAAGCUAAGCAGGCUGGAGCCUGGAUAGCACUUGGAUAAGUGCCCGCCAUGCAUAAAACAGGUGCUAUAGGCA